rnacentral:rRNA from 1 species
UAAUUAAAUUUGGUUAGUUAGAAAAAUUAGCUUUAAAUUCUUUAUAAUUUAUGCCAGAAUUAAAAUAAAUUAGGAGAUUAAAUUUAUUUAAUAAGAAAAUAUUAUUGAGAUUUAAAGCUAUCUCUAGUUAAUUUUGUGCCAGCAACAGCGGUUAUACAAAAAGAGGAUUUUUUUAAUUAAUAUUUUUAAUUUUUAUAAUAAAGUUAUUUAUUAAAAAAUAAGGUGAAAUUUAUUUUUAAGCAUUUUUUUAAAUAUUAAAAAUAAGAAUUCCAACUUAGACUAGGAUUAGAUACCCUAUUAUUAAGAAUAAUAUAUUGUUAGUAUAUAAAUAUUACGAAAACAAAAAAUUAUGGCGGUAUUUUAAGCUUUUCAGAGGAAUUUGCUCUUUAAUGGAUAAAACACCUAAAUCUUACUAAAAUUGGUAAAGCAGCUUGUAUACCACUAUUUAAGUAAUAAUUUGUUAUUAUUACUAAAAAUUAUCAUUAUAAUAAAAGUUAAGUCAAGGUGCAGCAUAAGUUUUAGAAUGAAGUGAAUUACAUUUCUUUUUAGAAAUUUAAAAAUGAAAACAAAAAAUAGGAUUUGAAAGUAAAAUUUUAAUAAAAUGAAAAUUUGAAUUAAGCUCUAAAAUAUGUACAUAUCGCCCGUCGCUCUUUAUUAAAGAUAAGUCGUAACAAAGUUAAAGUACUGGAAAGUGCUUU